AUGAUGUACCGCUUGUUUUCCGCCUUGGGUGUUCUAUUCGGAAUGGCCUCAGCGGGUAAGGAACCAGUGGCUGUCCCUAGUCUCCUGAUUUUGUCACAAAAGACACCACAAAUUGGAUAACCAAUCAAGAACUAUUUAUAACUAUAAUGGAACAAAAAGAUGGAGAAAACGGGAUAGUUGGUGAAUUCAUUAGUGAUUACAUAAGAGCUGUUAUAGAGAUGUACCAUGAUACUUUACUUGGCAUAAUAAAUAGUCUUACCACAAUAUGUAUUUUUGUUGCUUUUAUGGUAUGUAAUCUAAGGUCAUGCAUGACAGUUACACCUGUCUCCCUUUCUCCUCUCUCUCUCUUAUAGACGGCUCUUAUGGCUUAGGGCCGGAGCCAAAGAGGAUAUGUCCUGGGAUGCCAUUCACUUUUACACUGACAUAUAGGAUAAGCGGAGCAGACCUGAUGUUCUACAAGAACGGGGUCGAGAGGAAGGUUGCCACUACCAAGGAGGUAACACCCAUAUGGACCUAUGGACCAAGGAUCAGUACAUCCAAUAAUACAUACAGUCCAAACCAACAGGCAGGAAGUUUGCAGUAAAUUGAUUAUGUUUUUUUUUCUCCCCCAGAUUAUAGACCCCCAGUUUCGGCUCAAUGGCAGUGAACCUUAUUUACCCGAGGUCAUGAAAACGCAUGAAGGGAAGUAUUAUUGGAAGGCUCCAUCGGUCGAUUUUGAACUGAAUUACAUCAGACUAAUUCUGAAAGACUGCAGUGUUCGUCAAAAUGUGGUGUACGGUGAGGAGUUGGCCUUAAAUGUGCCGGCGGACGCGUCUGUGUUGGAGUUCACCCCUCACCUCUCAGACCAACACUCCGUCCUGUGGAGACGGAUACACAGAGGGGGGGACGAGGAAGCAAGGGGCGCGGUUAAGGACGGCCGCUGGACAGCACAGAGGAUGACCCAAGCGGAUCAGGGGCGCUACACUUUACUCAGGGAGAGUGGUGGCCAGAUCUCCAGCACUGUGGUCUCUGUUGAAGGUAAGAGCAAUGAAGCGCGUGCUGAGAAUAUGGGACAGAUGAUUGCCAGAAUAGUAAAAGAAGACAAGGUGUUGCCAUAUUUCUCUGUAAGUAAGUAACUUCUACUUCUGGUUUAUAUAGGUUGAGAUAACUUUCAAAAAAGAUUCACAAGGUGAACUGAUUUGUGAAUAUCACAAAUAAUAUGAUUCAAAUAUCUCCCAUCCUUCAUUUGUGCAAUCACUUGUCUUCAUUGAUUAGAGGAAAACUAUGCCACAUAUAUUAUAUGCCGUUUGACAUGUUUAAUGAGAUACAGGAAUUGCUUUGCUUUGAAGAGUACAUUUUAGCACCCCCCUUUUUCAAGCAUGUUCACCUCAAUUUCACAUUUGUUUAUGAUUUCCUACACUUCCCAGAAUGCAUUUCAACCACUACUAGCUAACAAUUGCAGUUGCUGAUUUGUCUGUUGUAGCCUGGUUGCAGUUUCAUUUAGUCUUCUUUAGUUGGAUUAUUCUGAGUAUGAUUAUUAAAUGUUGCCUCAAAAAAGUGUUGGAAAAGAGAAGCCCUUGCAUUUCUCUUUCAUGGUUAUAGCACCACAACAUAAUGGCUACCAUUUUCGAUUGUGUGUGAAAAAAUCUUCUUAAGUGCAUUGUAGCCGGAAAGGACAUGUCCUUUAGGGGCAUCACUAUGGUUACUCAUGUCCCAUGCGGAUCCAUCUGCAGUGUGUGUUCUAGAAACACGGUAGGUAAAUCUGGGACUCCUUUACCACUCCUAUGAGAGGCUUUAGUGUAGCGGUAGUCUGGUGGGAGACAGACAUGACUUCAUGAUCAGCACCUCAUGAUGAGCGAGUUCACAAUCUGGAGACAAUUUCUUCAUUUCUCCAUCUGGAGACAAUUUACACACCUAAACUGUGGACACACUGUCCAAAAGUAGGCUAUUAAAGAGGUGAGCUCAGUGGACAAAAUUGUUGUCGUCUUCUUCUUCUUCUUCUGUGAUUUUCCCUGUUUUAUGCCCCUUGGAUUGUGUGAUUUAUCUUUGUUUAUUAUCGUUUGGUCUAUUUAAUACGAUAAUUCAUUUUUUAUUAUGUAUUAAAGCACUUUGAGCUGCAUUCUUCGAAUGAAAAGAUAUGUUUCCCUUCUGUCUCGUUUGUUUUUCUCCCUGCAACUUCAGAACUCCAAAUACAUGCUCACGUGGCUGAUGACGACGUCAGAGAUCACUGGAGAACUGAUGUUAAUAUCUCUGCACGGGAGGCUGUAGUCACUUACUUUACGGCUUUCGGGGGUGAGCAUGUGCUCUUCCGAGACGGCAUGGAGACUGAUGAGGGCUUCGACAUUUUUGGAAAUCGUAUCACACUCCAAAAGUCAACGCUCCAAAAGUCAACUUUCAGCAUCAGCAAAGCGCAGCCAAGUGACGCAGGACGAUACGAGAUCCAUGACAAGAAUGGACAUCUGGCCAUCUCACUGUAUCUGGAGAGAGACCCUGGUCAGUCGUAUGCCAUGACCUGUUUUUAUUGUUGUAUAAUGUAGUUAUUAAUUCUACUUCAAUCUCUUUCUGCGUGUCAACAUUUUUCUCUCUCCUUCAAUCUCUCAGAAGAUGAAGAGUUUUAUCCUACGAGUUUAGCCACUCCUCUUGGCAUAUCUGCGGGCGUGCUGGUUGGACUGCUGUGCUGUUGCUGGUGCUGUUGCAAGUGCUGUGGCAAGUGCUGUGGCCAUGACGAUGGUGACAAGACUGAGUCCGCCGCUGCUUCUCCAGACGCCGAGCAACCCGCUCACAUCCAUGUAAGCGCUUCUAUAUAGGGGAAAGUCUUGCAGGGGUCGUGACCUCGGCCCUUUGUGACAAGAGCAAACACGUGGAGUUGAUUCAUGGAGGGUUAAAAGAAGGAAUAAAAACAAGGCACCCCUGAUGUUAAACUUAAAG
rnacentral:lncRNA from 1 species